rnacentral:lncRNA from 1 species
ACGCACUCUCGGCUGGCGGCGGAAUGGGUGGUAGCACAGAGCCAGACCUGCUCCAGGAUCGCUGUCCCCGUUCUAGUAAUAGCAAUCUCGAAAGUCCUAUAGCCCAGGGGCAGAUGGAAGCUCCCCGCGUGAAAACACAGAGCUAACCGUCAGCCGGGCGCGCAGCUUCUCCACUGGAUCCUUCUUCAGUGACUCGAGAACACUAACUCUCCAUCUCAUCUUCUACGGCUCAUUCUGUCUGCACCCCUUCCCAGCUGAGCUGCUUUGAGGAGCUGCUACAUAUCCAGUAUCCACUUCCUCACUUCCCAUUUGUUUUCCAGCUGACUCCAACAUGGAUUCCAUCUUCAUUAUUCCAUCAAAAGUGUUCAUGGUUUCCAUUGUGGCUCAGCAGGUUAAGAUCCCAACUAGUAUCAAUGAGGAUGAGGGUUCUAUCCCUGGCCUUGCUCAGUGGGUUAAGGAUCUGGCAUUGCUGUGGCUGUGGCAUAAUCCAGUAGCUGCAGCUCUGAUUUGACCCCUAGCCUGGGAACUUCAAUAUGCUGAAAGUGCUGCCCUAAAAAGAAACAAAAAAAACCCCCAACAAAACAGUGGGUUUUUGUUUUUUGUUUUGGUCUUUUUAGGGCCGCACUCUUGGCACAUGGAGGUUCCCAGGCUAGGGGUCAAAUUGGAGUUGUAGCCACUGGCCUAUGCCACAGCCACAGCAGCACCAGUUCAGAGCCUUGUCUGCGACCUACACCACAGCUCAUGGCAAAGCCGGAUCCUUAAUCCACUGAGCGAGCGCAGGGAUCGAACCUGCGUCCUCAUGGAUACUAGUCCAUGAGGCUUACUUCCUCAUGGAAGUAAGGCUUACUUCCACUGAGCCACGACGGGAACUCCCAAAAAACAGUGCUUUUUGUGGGGUGGGCAAAAUGGGUGAAAAUGGUCAAAAGGUACAAACUUCCAGUAACAAAUAAGUCCUUGGGAUUUUGUGUACAGCGUGGUGACUAUAAAAAUGCUAUACUGUAUAUUUAAAAGUUGCCAAGAGACUAUAUCUUAAAAGUUCUCAUCACAAGAAAAAAGAACUGUAAUUAUGUGUGGUGAGAGAUGUUAACUCACAGUGGUGAUCAUUUUGCAAUAUAUAGAAAAUCCUGUUAUACACCUACAAUUAAUAUAUUGUCAUGUUAAUUACAUUGCAAUUAAAAAUUUUUAAUUAAAAAAUAAAGUUAUUUCAAUCAUUAGAAAAGUAUUCAGGGUCAGUGGAGAAUUAGGUCAGCUACUUCCUCUAAAAUGAUUGAGAGGAGAGGGGCAGGCCUUUGUACCAUGCUUGCAACUCUUCUGUAAAUUUGAGGCUGUUUCAAGAUAAAAGGAAACUAGUAUAUGUUAGGUGUCUGGCUCUGUAGUAAAGACUGUUAGAGCCCCACUUAUGCCCACUUUACCCUUCAUCCUUGCAUCGAUUGUAUUGAAGGAGCCGUGGGCACAGAGACACCUGAGCACUGCACCCCCACUUUGGCUUGGAGGUGGCAACAGAUGUCUUACUGGUCUAGGGGUGUAAGAGUCCCAUCCCUUGCUUCACAGGGGGAUAAUGGGACAACUUGGCAGUGUGCUCCCUCCAGAGCACCCUGUGGAUCAGGCCAAGAAGUUUUCUGAGCCCUCAUCCUUAGCUGACUCUUUCUCCUUCUCUUACUCCUUUACAGGAUUUUCCUAGAGAGCGCCACUCUCAAAAAUCAUGUGCAGCUGAGUCCUUGUCUCCAGCAGCUUUUAGAGAAUCUCAACUCAGCCAGUGACACACCAGGUUAAUAAAUGAGAGCUAUUAUUAUUGGCAUCAAUGACACUACCAUUAGAUGGAAGACCAAUGCAUGAAAUAUAGGCCUUGUUUCAUAGAUACGUUCACUUUAAAGUCUCCUAACAUUCUUACUUAUCCUGAACUGCCUUAUUUUUUAUACGGAACAUUUACUUUCUUUCCAGAAAGAACUGAACUCUGAAAAAAAAUGUUCACUUUAGGGUUCUGCUUGUAGAAUGCUUCUGUAAAACAAACAGCCAAGUGAGGCUGCUUCCCUGAUUAAACUUGUUUCAUUCCUCCUCUUCCAGGAGGUCUUUGUGGAUUUCCAUUUCCAAGUAUGCUGCCAAAAUGGUGGCUUGGCUUGGAUUUGAGGAUUCCAAUUUUCUUUUGUCUUCGCAUCAAUAGUUUUCAAUGAGGGUAAUUCAUGUUGGCAUUAGUUAUCAUCUCUGUGAUGGGGUUGUGCACUACAUCUGACAUCCUGCAAGUGCAGGCUAUCACACACCAUGAAGGAUCAUCCCAAAUUCAGUAUCCACCACAACUAUCACAUGUUCUGCUGGACAUUCAUGAAGGUGGAAAACCAGGCUAAGUAUCUGAGCCAAGCCCCUGUUAAAGAAAAAAGUGGUGGAGUUCCCUAGUUCGAAUCCGACUAGGGACCAUGAGGUUGUGGGUUCAAUCCCUGGCAUUGCUUAGUGGGUUAAGGAUCUGGCAUUGCCGUGAGCUGUGGUGUAGGUCUCAGACACGGCUUGGAUCUGGCGUUGAUGUGGCUGUGGCGUAGGCUGGUGGCUACAGCUCUGAUUAGACCCCUAGCCUAGGAACCUCCAUAUGCCAUGGGAGUGGCCCUAGAAAAGGCAAAAAGACAAAAAAAAGAAAAAGAAAAAAGGGGUUCUGCUAAGGUCAUGGGGGCCAUUCAUGUUGCUAAUCCAGUGGAGCUUUCAGCCCCCAUCUACCCUUCCAAUUGACUGCUUCCACCUUAAAGACUCUUGUGGGCAGUCUUGACAUUGCCUUGUCUUGGUUUUCCACCAGCCUCACUGCCAACCCCCCAGUCUCCUUGGCCAGCUCCCUUUGUGCUGACCAGCUCCUAAAUGCUGGAGUUACUUGAGACUUUAUCUCGCACUAUACAUUUACCAUAAACAACCUCAUUCACUGUCAUGCUUUUGAAUACAAUUUCUGUAUACAACUUCCAACGAUUGUAUUUUUAGUUCCAUACAUACAGCUCUCUACCCCAGAAACUGGUAUGUCCAAAAUCCCUGUUUCCAAGCUCACUCUUUUCCACAGAGAACCUUCAAGCAUCUAGCCCUUUUUGCUAGAAACCCUUUUCCUCACAUCCCACUUCUAAAUCAUCAUUUUGUCCUGCCAGACUUUACCUGGGCCCUGUCCGCUUCUCAGCACCUCCACCAUCACCAUCUCACUGGGACAACCAUGUCCCUACAAAAGCUGUAAAUGUCAUGUCUUCAGAGAAACCUUCCUAUUCUCACAAUUAAAAAUAAAGUUUAUGGGAGUUCCUGCCAUGGCUCAGCAAUAAUGGACCCGACUAAGAUCCAUGAGGAUGUGGGUUUGAUCCCUGGCCUCACUCAGUGGGUUAAGGAUCCAGCAUUGCUGUGACUGGCUUGUCUACAGUAGGUUGUAAAUGCUGCUUGAAUCUUGCAUUGCUGUGGCUGUGGCAGUAGCUGGGAGCUGUGGCUCAGAUUCGACCUCUAGCCACACAAAACAAACAAACAAACAAAAAACAACAGUUUAUGUGUUAGGUCUCCUAGCUCUCUGAACAUUUAACUUUUCUUCAUGGCAGUUUGUAUCUUAUAUAAUAAUUGUCUGAUGUUCCAGCUUCCUUGGUAGAUAGUUAAGUGAACAAAUGAGUGUGUAUUUUUUCUUCUCUCAAAGAAUUAUGUUCUGUAAAUGAUAAAAAGCACCAUCUUAUUGGCUUACAUCCCAAUUCAAUGGGUUUUUUAAAACUCUACAAAUACAUCUAUUUAGCUUUUUUUCUUAUUUACAAAAAUAUUUCUUCCUUUAUAAAAAGAUGCCUUUUCCUCUUUAAGAUGCCUUUUUUCCUUUAUGAAUAUUAAAGAGAUUACUCAGUUGGGCAUUAGAGAUCUCAUUAAAUAUUAAAGUAGAAGAAAAUAUUCAAAGCAUACAUCAUAGAAAUAGUUACAGGUCCCUGUAGGUCCAGAUGCACUAAUGGUUUUAAUUUCAUCUAACAUCAUUUGAGACAAUACUGCUGUUUGAAACUACUAGAUAUUUCAAUAAGAAUGACAAACUGAUUAUAUAUAAUCAUAUAAUCUAUAUUAUAUAAAAAGAUUUUUAUACAGAUUAUAUGUUAUAUAAUCACGUAUAUUAUAUAUAAAUGUUUGUAUAUAAUAUGAUUAUAUAUAUAUGAUUAUAUUAUAUAAAUUUUUUAAAAAAAACUUGGCUGUUUUCUUAGAUUACAUAUUGGUGGUAUAAAAUGGUAACAUCUAAAAGAUAAAUUACUACACUUGGAAAUAACUAUUUCGUAACUCUGAAGUGAAUUCAGUGUGGCUUAAAAAAAAGUUUUAAAAGGAUGAUUUGAAAUGUGAAAUGCAUCUCAAAGUACAAAAUUUAUUGGCCCUUUAUAGAGUUUACCGGCAGUGUUUUUUUUUGUUUGUUUGUUUUUUUUUUUUGCUUUUUAGGGCUGCACCCGAGGCAUGUGGAGGUUCCUAGGCUAGGGGUCAAAUUGGAGUUAUAGCUGCUGGCCUCCACCGGGAUCCAUGCCUGUGUCUGCAACCUAUACCACAGCAAUGCCAGAUCCUUAACCCACUGAGCGAGGCCAGGAAUCGAACCCACAACCUCAUGAUUCCUCAUCAGAUUCAUUUCUGCUGCACCAUGACGGGAACUCCUACCCAUUGUGAUCUUUUAAAGAACAGAAAUGCAAAAGUGCAGGAAGAUAAAGUAUUCUAAAACAAAAUCCCAAAUUGGAAAUCCAACAUACACCAGAAACAAUGUGAAGUACUGAUGUCAAAUUGUUUUUUGAUCACUUGCUAAAGAAAUACAUUAUAAUUAAAUUGUUUUGGUGUUAUUUAAAUACUGUUAAACAAAAAUUCUGAUUUUUGACAAGGAUAGAAAGUAAUACCAGAGAAACCAGCUUUGAAUUUUGGGAAACUUCUUCUCCCUAAAGCAACUUUUUUGAAUAUGUAUUGUCAAAAAAUGCAAUGUAUGUUGAUUCAUAAAU